rnacentral:rRNA from 1 species
GAUGAACGCUGGCGGCGUGCCUAAUACAUGCAAGUCGAGCGAACGGACGAGAAGCUUGCUUCUCUGAUGUUAGCGGCGGACGGGUGAGUAACACGUGGAUAACCUACCUAUAAGACUGGGAUAACUUCGGGACACCGUAGCUAAUACCGGAUAAUAUUUUGAACCGCAUGGUUCAAAAGUGAAAGACGGUCUUGCUGUCACUUAUAGAUGGAUCCGCGCUGCAUUAGCUAGUUGGUAAGGUAACGGCUUACCAAGGCAACGAUGCAUAGCCGACCUGAGAGGGUGAUCGGCCAAUCUGGAACUGAGACACGGUCCAGACUCCUACGGGAAGCAGCAGUAGGGAAUCUUACGCAAUGGGCGAAAGCCUAACGGAGAAACGCCGCGUGAGUGAUGAAGGUCUUCGGAUCGUAAAACUCUGUUAUUAGGGAAGAACAUAUGUGUAAGUAACUGUGCACAUCUUGACGGUACCUAAUCAGAAAGCCACGGCUAACUACGUG